ACUUAUCUCUGGUGGAGGUUUGAGGAGGCUGAUGAAAGCAGGGUAGGUGGGGAUAGACUGAGGAGCACUUGGGAGGUAAGAUGGGUCGGGGCAUGGAGACCCCCCAGUCUAUCUCUUUGUAUGGGACAGAAUCAGAUGCAGUGGGGCCAUGUAGACUAAAGCAGGCAAGUAGAAGCUGGAGUGCGCUACAAGGCCUCAAUGCCUCACAGCCAACCGGAAGCAGGACGGACAGGCUGGUUCUGUCUUCCUUCUUCUCUCUUCUUUACCUAGAGCCCGGGGCUGACUUCUGUGCAUCUGAAUGAUCAUUUCUCAAGGAGUUUCUGACUAACUUUUCUUAUUCCUACUUCAGGCUAUCCUCUACCCAGAUAAGGACAACUCCAGGGUAGAAACCAUUGUCUCUUGACCACCUUGACCCCUCAAGGCAAAGACUUCUGGAGACCACCUCUAGACCAAGACUGAUUAAUUAUUCAUACCAAGAGGUAUGAACCACUUGCCACAAUCUUCCUUGACUUAAUCUAAAAGCUCAUGUGUGUAACCCAAACAUGAACUUAGGGUCAUUGUACCCUUUUAUCUGAUUUAUCCCAAUAUGGCUACAUCGGAUAACUCUCUCUCUGUACCAUUCAACUUUACCACCCUCUGGCAACAGGAUCUCACUGUAGCAGCGAAGGCUGACCUGGAUCUCAUUUUGUAUGCCAGGCUGACCUUCAACUAACAGUGAUCCUUAUGCCUCAGCCUCACAAGUGUUGAGAAAAAGGUGUAAACCACCAUUCCUGGCUUUACUUGUCUCUUUAAUUGGCAUACUGGGGACUGGAGGCCCAGCCUAGCCUGUUUGGACUGCCUCAGCCUAAGCUUUGGUUAUGAAAGGCGGGGAUGGAGCAAGUGCCUGGAGGUAUCCCCAGACAGAGACACCUCUAGUCCAAGGGUAGCAUUCAUAAGUAGAAGAUGCUGCACUCCAGUACUGGGCCUCAGUUUCCCAUCCCUGGGAAGCACGGCCCAUAUGCCAGAUCAAUGCUCCUAUCGGAUGUGGCCGUUGGACCAGAAUAUGUUACAUGUGGCAGCUCAUUCCUGAGGUGGUUAAUUGGCCGCCUCAGUGCUGGGCUCUGUCGCCCCAUUGAUUGGGAAUGAAGGGUGAGAAGAGGGAGAUGGGGAAUCGAUAGGCUGAUGAGUGUCUUACUAGCUUUCUGUUUGAACACUUUGUCAAUAGCCACCCACUUAAUGGCCAGUGGUGCAUUGGCUGUCCAUCUUUCUAUCCUUGUGGCCUGGGACAUGAGACCCUUCGGAUAGUGUGUGCCUAUGCCCGGCAAUCCUAGUAGGUGGGGCAGCUUUUGGCUCUAAAACUAGGCUCCAGGUGAGGAAGUGCAAGGCCUAUUCUGAGCAAGGGGGACUGUCCCCACUGUUUGCCCAGUCUUGCUCAGCCAAAGGCAACUCCACACCCUGUACUCUAUGGUUUGCUAAAAGACCCUGAUCCCCCCACCCCCAACCCCCACACACAGGCAAAUGUGAAAUUCUGAAGUCAUCUCAAAAGUUCAUGUGUUUGGAGUAGAGGUGGCCAUGAGAUUUCAAUCUCAAUUCACUUUAGGAGCUAGCAGCUAGUUAGUAUCUAGAAGCUCUUUCUGUACAGUGGAGAUCCUGGGACAAGAGGCAACUAAGAAAAGAUAAGCCCAGGGAACCCUUUCUUUAGUCCUAGAGUCUUUCAAAUGUGACAAACCCAAAGCCCCAGAGCUUUGCCCUCUGCCCAGCCUCCCAUAUGGUUUUAUGAACUGAAACUGCAAAGUUUAGGGUGUGAGAAUGUAUCAUUCUGAGUGUUUGAACUGUCUCUCUGUUGGCUGCCCUGCAAUAGUUUAGGAGGUAAUGGAAUUGUUUGGUUUCUUCUGAGACAUUUCUGGUGGGUAGGUGCUGUCCCUUUAGCCUGGUUUGUUGUCUAGUCCCCCUCUGCAAAGGCAUCAUCCUUUACUCUGAGUGACAAACAACUCAAGACAGGGAGAGGAAUAAGAUAAGGACAAGAUAAAGUGUCAGAUGAAACCUCUUCUGUACACUCUUGAGACUAAGAGGUAAUGUUCUUUCUCUGGAUGCCUGUUAGGUGGGUGGUGUAGUUAGGGACCUUCCUUAGCAUGUCUUAAAAGGCCUGACAGCUAGGACCGGUGAUCAGGACAGGUUAUACGCAAGGGUAUUAACCCAGCUCUGCUUUCCUCCUGCUUUUUGGUUAGGAGCAUCAUGUGCUGGCUAGUAAACGUUCUCAGAGACAUCAAUCAAAGCUUUGCAUUCUCAGAGUCUCCCAGGCACAGAAAACGGUGGGUGCUAGCCGUGGUGCUGAAGCAUAUCUCCCUUUUAGAGAAAGCUUGUUCCCAGCUUCCUCUAAAGACCAGAAUAGUUAGCUGGGCGUGGUGGCAUACACCUUUAACCCCAGCACUCGGGAGGCAGAGGCAGGCGGAUUUCUGAGUUCAAGGCCAGCCUGGUCUACAAAGUGAGUUCCAGGACAGCCAGGGCUAUACAGAGAAACCCUGUCUCGAAAAACAUAGUUGGCCUACAUAGAUCCUUUCAACAUUUCCCCAGUGGGUCGCAGAUAGCCCUCCUCUCUCUUCUCAUCUGAUAAAUACACAGUCUUGACCUCCAAACUGCGAUUCACCUCCUAGUUUGUCAUGAUGGAGAUCAUGCCGUCUUCUAGUUCCCUGGUCCAGGAAGCAUCAGUCAGUGGAAGAUACAGAUGUCCAGUUGGUGGACCCUGGAUGAACUUGCAGAAUGGAGAGAAAGUCAGCUGGCUGAGGGCAACGGGAGCAUGUUGAGCUGCUGAGAACAAAAGCUAAUGGGACCCACUUCAUGCUAGAGGUGCCAACUGUGCCCCCUUAGGCACACGUGUGCCUCGGGAGGUUUGAAUAUGUUCCUUGGCUCCUGAUCCUCAUCUGUGACCAGAAGCAUUGGCUGUCAUCAGAGUUUUGCUCCUUUCACAC
rnacentral:lncRNA from 1 species